CCGGGUUUAUGGAUUCGUGGGCUGCUUCCAACUGCUAGGAGGGUGGUGCACUCCAACUCUGGGACCGAAGACCCUGUGCUCAGGACUCUUCCAGACCUCUUUAUCCGGCUGUUCAUCUUCCAUAAUCAACUGGUAGACAUUACAUCCAAGAGGAAAUAAUCCAGGCAAGGAAGCACAAGCUAAUCAAGAUGUGUAGUUCUGUGGCUGCCAAGUUGUGGUUUUUGACAGAUCGUCGCAUCAGGGAAGACUAUCCUCAAAAAGAGGUUUUACGAGCGCUGAAGGCCAAAUGUUGUGAGGAGGAACUGGACUUUAGGGCUGUGGUGAUGGAUGAGGUGGUGCUGACAAUCGAGCAAGGAAACCUGGGUCUGCGGAUCAAUGGAGAGCUAAUCACUGCCUACCCACAAGUGGUGGUAGUCAGAGUACCAACCCCUUGGGUGCAGAGUGAUAGUGACAUCACUGUUUUGCGCCAUCUAGAGAAGAUGGGAUGCCGGUUAAUGAACCGACCUCAAGCCAUCCUGAACUGCGUUAAUAAGUUCUGGACAUUUCAAGAGUUAGCUGGCCAUGGUGUUCCUCUGCCAGAUACUUUCUCUUAUGGUGGCCAUGAAAAUUUUGCUAAAAUGAUUGAUGAAGCAGAAGUACUGGAGUUCCCAAUGGUAGUAAAGAAUACGCGGGGUCAUAGAGGUAAAGCUGUUUUCUUGGCUCGAGAUAAGCACCAUUUGGCUGAUCUAAGCCAUCUUAUUUGCCAUGAAGCACCAUACCUGUUCCAGAAGUAUGUUAAAGAGUCUCAUAGACGGGAUGUACGUGUCAUUGUCGUGGGAGGCCGUGUGGUUGGCACCAUGUUACGUUGUUCAACAGAUGGGAGAAUGCAAAGCAACUGCUCAUUAGGUGGUGUGGGGAUGAUGUGCUCAUUGAGUGAACAAGGGAAGCAGCUAGCUAUCCAGGUGUCUAAUAUCCUGGGGAUGGAUGUAUGUGGCAUUGACCUGUUGAUGAAAGAUGACGGCUCCUUCUGCGUCUGUGAGGCCAAUGCAAAUGUAGGUUUCAUCGCCUUUGAUAAGGCUUGUAAUCUAGAUGUAGCUGGUAUCAUAGCAGACUAUGCCGCCUCCCUUCUACCCUCUGGCCGGCUCACCCGGCGUAUGUCCCUGCUCUCCGUGGUGUCCACUGCCAGUGAGACUAGUGAGCCGGAGCUGGGUCCCCCAGCCAGCACUGCUGUUGACAACAUGAGUGCAAGUUCCAGCUCUGUUGACAGCGACCCUGAAAGCACGGAGCGAGAGCUGCUCACCAAGCUCCCAGGGGGCCUGUUCAACAUGAACCAGCUGCUAGCCAAUGAAAUCAAACUACUGGUGGACUGACUCCACUGGUAAUUAACCAACAAAACCCUUGUAAAACUUUCUUUCUUUUUUCUUUUCUAUUUUUGAAACCAACUUGCAAUGCUGUUCAUGGUGGAUGCUCAGGAAGAUGAGAGAAAAUUAGUAGGAUUAGUUGGAGAGAGUGGGAGAUAGAUGAGACCUCUGCUUGUAAGAUGUUACUUUCAUUUACAAAUCCUACAAAUAGAGAGGCAGAAUAGGUGGGGUAUAGAAAAAUGUCAGGCUCUCAUAGUUCCCCUUUAAAUUGCUAAAAAGUUUGUAUACUCAUAGGCCAUGAGGAACAAAUACUUUUUUUUUUCAUGGUCCCUUGCUUUUGUUUUUGUACAAAAAAAAAAUAAUAAUAAUAACAGUUUUGCUACAAAUAUCCGAGUAGCAUAACUUCACAUUGUGUUGGAAGAUUUGUCAUUGAGGAAAACAUCUGCUUAAAUUACAGGAAUUUUUGUAUUAUACAGCUCUGAAAAUUCUGCCAUUUCCUUAUUAACUAGCAGCUUUAGUUUGUAGUUUAUGAAAUCUCGAGGGGCUCUUUUACUGGGAUUUCUUAUUUUUGUUUUUUGUUUUCUUCCCCUUAAUUUGGUGGGAGGGUCAAAGUGACUAUAACCCAAUAAAGACUUCUUA